CUAUUGAUAAUAAUUUUAGGUCUGACCUGCCCACUGAAAAUUUAAAUGGCCGCGGUAUUUUGACCGUGCAAAGGUAGCAUAAUCAUUAGUUUUUUAAUUAAAAGCUGGAAUGAAAGGUUUGAUGAAAAAAUAACUGUCUCUAUUAAAUUUUUUAGAAUUUUAUUUUUAAGUUAAAAAGCUUAAUUAUAAUUAAAAGACGAGAAGACCCUAUAGAGUUUUAUAAAAUUAUUAAAUUAAUUUUUUAGAAUUUAAAAUUUAAUUAAAUGAUUUUAUUUAAUUGGGGUGAUUGAAAAAUUAAAUAAACUUUUUUUAUAAAUUUUACAUUAAUAUAUGAAUAAUUGAUCCAUUAAUUAUGAUUAUAAGAUUAAAUUACCUUAGGGAUAACAGCGUAAUUUUUUUUAAGAGUUCUAAUCGAAAAAAAAGAUUGCGACCUCGAUGUUGGAUUAAAAUUAAAUUUUGGUGUAGAAGCUAAA
rnacentral:rRNA from 1 species